GGGCAGGAACCCGUGGAGGUCGGAAGAGGUCAUCAGGUCCUCUGGAACUGGAGUUACAGUGGUUUUGAGCUGCUAUGUGAGUGCUAGGAAUUGAACCCUGGUCUUCUGCAAGAGCAGUAAACAUCCUUAACUGCUGAGCUGUCUCUCGAGUCCACCAGCCUUUAAACUUUAUGGAACAGUCGAGUCUGGCAUCUGCACAGCCCUCUUGAAUGACUUAUCCAGCCUUGUCAACCACAGGAAGGUGGCUCUGUCUUGUCAUACCGAAUAUGUUCUGCACUUCUGAGAACAAGAGCUAUCAAACUUCUGCUAAAUCGGUAGUAGAUCAAUUCCACUAAAUGGCCCAGCUUCAAAAUAAGUCAGUAAUGACCCUGAGGAUACCUUCUUUCUUGCCUACCCACUGGGACCUCUGCCUCCCAGGUGCUGGGAUUAAAGGCGUGUGCGUCCUGG
rnacentral:lncRNA from 1 species